rnacentral:rRNA from 1 species
UACGUAGGAGGCGAACGUUAUUCGGAUUUACUGGGCGUAAAGAGAGCGUAGGCGGUUCCUUAAGUCAGAUGUGAAAUCUUCUGACUCAAUCAGAAGGGGUCAUUUGAUACUGAGGGGCUUGAGAGCAACAGAGGGAAAUGGAAUCCCCAGUGUAGCGGUGAAAUGCGUAGAUAUUGGGGAGAACACCAGUGGCGAAGGCGAUUUCCCAGGUUGUUUCUGACGCUGAGGCUCGAAAGCGUGGGGAGCGAAGCGGAUUAGAUACCCGCGUAGUCCACGCCCUAAACGGUGGACACUAGAUAUAGGAGGUAUCGACCCUUUCUGUGUCGAAGCUAACGCUUUAAGUGUCCCGCCUGGGGAGUACGGCCGCAAGGCUAAAACUCAAAGGAAUUGACGGGGGCCCGCACAAGCAGCGGAGCGUGUGGUUUAAUUCGAUGCUACACGAAGAACCUUACCAGGGCUUGACAUGUCAGAAGUAGGAAUCCGAAAGGAGGACGACCUGUAUCCAGUCAGGAGCUGUCACAGGUGCUGCAUGGCUGUCGUCAGCUCGUGCCGUGAGGUGUUGGGUUAAGUCCCGCAACGAGCGCAACCCUUGUCCUAUGUUAAAUUCUCAUAGGAGACUGCCUUGUACAGCAAGGAGGAAGGAAAGGAUGACGUCAAGUCAGCAUGGCCUUUAUGCCCUGGGCUACACACACGCUACAAUGGGUGAUACAGAGGGUUGCCAAGGAGCGAUCCGGAGCUAAUCCCCGAAAAUCAUCCUCAGUUCGGAUUGCAGGCUGAAAUCGCCUGCAUGAAGUUGGAGCUGCUAGUAACCGCAGGUCAGCUAAACUGCGGUGAAUACGUUCUCGGGCCU